GACUGUUAAACUGCGAUAGCACUUCUGAGCUGUACAAGUCGGCAAAAGGUCAAAAUAAUUGAAGAUCACGAUCUGGAAGGACGGAAAAUUGGUGGCUUCCAAGCAACAGCUCCAUUAGACAAGGACCUUUGAGGACCACUACCACCUAAGUCCCACCAAAAGAAGUAUCGCCUUUCAGAGACUCGUAGAACUCAAUAUUGAACCCUACGGACUAAGACUAGGAUGCCAUUAAA